ensembl:lncRNA
UCAGAGAGGUGAGCAGCUCUUUUCCUGGGGUCAGGGACGACCAGCUUUGUCCAGAUGCCAGCUCCUUCUGCGGGACCAACCGGACUUGCCCACCUCUGGUGGCCCACCUCUGUCAGAGUCUUUGUUGAACUGUAGCUCAUAAUACUUGAGAUUGUUUACCUGAGCCUAUGAAGAGGAGAAAUUUUAAAGCCCUGCUCCCCCAACACCUUUAGACCUCAUUUGUGCUGUUAAAGUGGCAACCUGUCCUCCUGGUUUACCAUCCAUCAAUGCCCCUCCAUCAUUUCUGCAAAGUCAAAGACCAGUUGACUUUAGAGAGAACCUGUGAACCUACCUACUCUACUACUGUUGGGGAAACUCUUUUAAAAUAUGCAAGGAAUGUUAAAGAAACCGUUUGGUUUCUCUUUCAGUUCGCGUGUUUAGAGCCACUCUGCCCCACUCAUUACCACUACUACCGCUAGCUUCCUUUGGAUUGCUUCCCUUUCCCCAUUCCCUGCCACUGAGCGUGUAGUACUUGGUUCCCAUGAUCUCUCACUCUGUGAACGCACCCAGGCUACACUGAUGAUCUUCUCUUUAUUGGUUGUUCCUCAACAUUCUUAGGUUAGUUGACUUCAUAUCGUAUCUUGAUGUUACUUUGGCUUUAUUUUGACUUUCCUAGCAUUUUAACCCUAGAAAGACGCCUCAAAUCUUAUACAACCCUAUAUUGGGGGUGGAGUGGAAGGCGGCAGAUUGAUGCUAUGAGGACAUCUCGGUACUAGACAGACUUUUCUGUGGCAUACAGCCAUGAAUUAUUUAUGCACCAGAAUGCACUCUCUAAGCACGCUGAUGGCCUUUGCCCUUCAGAAACAUUUGACGUUGGAAUUGUGCGUGGAAAGACUCUUUCCGGCUUAAAACAGGUCUGGUAACCUCUGGAAAGGAACGCUUUUGAAUUAUCAUGGGAAUUAUUUGGCAUCUGGAAGUGGCAUCACGAGAAGUCCACACUAGUAAUCAAAGGGUAAGAUAAAAGUGUUUUUGUCACAAAAGGAGAAGCACACUAGUCACGAUUUGAAUUUGUUAGUUUCUGAUUACUGUUAACUUACAAAUUGUCACCAUCCCAUUCCCUCCAUUGAGUCAUUUUGAGGUCAAAGAAUGGAAAACUCUAUUUAAGAAUCCAUAUAAAUAAUAAAUACAUGCUUGGAAAGAGUGUGAUAAAUUAAUACAAGAUGAACAAAUUAAAAAAAUAGUAUACUCUAUUGGUGUUUGGCAGAUUCAUGUUGAUGUAUGGCAAAACCAAUACAAUAUUAUAAAGUAAUUAGCCUCCAAUUAAAAUAAAUAAAUGUACAUUUAAAUUAAAAAAAAAAACAGUCACCAGAUUUAAGGCUUUACUUAGUUGAAAUCAAAUUUUCCUUACUGGUGGUUUAUGUUUCUCUUCCCAAUUAGAUUUUAUCCAUUGUCAUUCAGUGAACAAAUUACUUUUGACUUUAUCCAUUCAUUCAUUCCUUUUACUCUUUAAGGAGAUUUGAAAGGCUUCCUUAUCCCAAACCCACAUACUAGUAUUAGAGUAAUAUUUACGUGACAGUUACUUAUAUGAAAUGGUUCAACCAGGAAGCUGCUGUUGCAUCCUUGAUGUUUGCCCUUAAUUUUGCAGCCCCCUACCCUUUCUCGUGUUCCCUUAUAUUCCAUAUACCUAACCAACUACAAACAAUAGACUUCAUUUUAUUUGUGUUUAAAAAUAACUGGGGAGAAGAGUAAGUCAUGAUUCAGUUGAAACGUAAAAAUUAUUGUUAUUUUUUUUUUCGGUAAGAAUUUCACUUUCUUUAUAUAAACUCUCUAAGCAAUUUGAAAUCACUUUUUCUUGAGCUGAAUGCCAAGAUGCCAUUUCAUCUAAACAGAGGUAUCCUCAGUUGGGAAAUUCAGAGACUACUUAGCUACAAGUGUACCUUGACUGAAAGAUCUGCUUUUGUUUUCCUACCCAACGAGCUUUAAAUCCUUAAAUUGCUUGUUGCCGCUUACAAUAGAAAGAUGUUCAAUAAUGUACAAAGAGUGACAGCUGAAAUACACUCAUUUAAACAUUUAAACUCUCACAAACCCUGACUGUUGCCAUUUGCCAGUUUGGGCAAUUUAUCAAUACCUGUCUCUAUUUUUCUCUUUUUUUUUUUUUUUUUUUUUUUUUUUUUUUUUUUUUUUUUUUUUUUUUUUUUUUUUUUUUUUUUUUUUUUUUUUUUUUUUUUUUUUUUUUUUUUUUUUUUUUUUUUUUUUUUUGGUAAGAAUUUCACUUUCUUUAUAUAAACUCUCUAAGCAAUUUGAAAUCACUUUUCUUGAGCUGAAUGCCAAGAUGCCAUUUCAUCUAAACAGAGGUAUCCUCAGUUAAAAGUGUUUUUGUCACAAAGGAGAAGCACACUAGUCACGAUUUGAAUUUGUUAGUUUCUGAUUACUGUUAACUUACAAAUUGUCACCAUCCCAUUCCCUCCAUUGAGUCAUUUUGAGGUCAAAGAAUGGAAAACUCUAUUUAAGAAUCCAUAUAAAUAAUAAAUACAUGCUUGGAAAGAGUGUGAUAAAUUAAUACAAGAUGAACAAAUUAAAAAAAUAGUAUACUCUAUUGGUGUUUGGCAGAUUCAUGUUGAUGUAUGGCAAAACCAAUACAAUAUUAUAAAGUAAUUAGCCUCCAAUUAAAAUAAAUAAAUGUACAUUUAAAUUAAAAAAAAAAACAGUCACCAGAUUUAAGGCUUUACUUAGUUGAAAUCAAAUUUUCCUUACUGGUGGUUUAUGUUUCUCUUCCCAAUUAGAUUUUAUCCAUUGUCAUUCAGUGAACAAAUUACUUUUGACUUUAUCCAUUCAUUCAUUCCUUUUACUCUUUAAGGAGAUUUGAAAGGCUUCCUUAUCCCAAACCCACAUACUAGUAUUAGAGUAAUAUUUACGUGACAGUUACUUAUAUGAAAUGGUUCAACCAGGAAGCUGCUGUUGCAUCCUUGAUGUUUGCCCUUAAUUUUGCAGCCCCCUACCCUUUCUCGUGUUCCCUUAUAUUCCAUAUACCUAACCAACUACAAACAAUAGACUUCAUUUUAUUUGUGUUUAAAAAUAACUGGGGAGAAGAGUAAGUCAUGAUUCAGUUGAAACGUAAAAAUUAUUGUUAUUUUUUUUUUUGGUAAGAAUUUCACUUUCUUUAUAUAAACUCUCUAAGCAAUUUGAAAUCACUUUUUCUUGAGCUGAAUGCCAAGAUGCCAUUUCAUCUAAACAGAGGUAUCCUCAGUUGGGAAAUUCAGAGACUACUUAGCUACAAGUGUACCUUGACUGAAAGAUCUGCUUUUGUUUUCCUACCCAACGAGCUUUAAAUCCUUAAAUUGCUUGUUGCCGCUUACAAUAGAAAGAUGUUCAAUAAUGUACAAAGAGUGACAGCUGAAAUACACUCAUUUAAACAUUUAAACUCUCACAAACCCUGACUGUUGCCAUUUGCCAGUUUGGGCAAUUUAUCCAAUACCUGUCUCUAUUUUUUCUCUUUUUUUUUUCUUUUCUUUUUGACUGCUCAGGAUGAGGAAGAAACCUUUUCCCAUGUUGAUACUCAUUUUGUUAGCCUCUUCGUAAGGCAUGGGGAAAUGGGGAGGCAGGGCGAAGUACAGUCAUGGUAACGCUAUAGGAAACCAUCAAGCUAAAUAACAGCAAAGUAAACGCCAC